rnacentral:rRNA from 1 species
CGCAGCGAAAGCGAGUCUGAACAGGGCGUUCAGUCAGUGGGGGUAGACGCGAAACUGAGUGAGCUACCCUUGGGCAGGUUGAAGCGUGGGUAAGACCACGUGGAGGACCGAACCGGUGUCUGUUGAAAAAGGCUCGGAUGACCUGAGGGUAGGGGUGAAAGGCCUAUCAAACUCAGAGAUAGCUCGUACUCCCCGAAAUGUAUUUAGGUACAGCGUUACGUUAGUCUACUGGAGGUAGAGCACUGGUUGGGCUAGGGCCCUUCACCGGGUACCAAACCCUGUCAAACUCCGAAUGCCAGUAGUAUGAUGCGUAGCAGUGAGGGCGCGGGUGAUAAGAUCCGUGUCCGAGAGGGAAACAACCCAGAUCGACAGCUAAGGUCCCUAAGUCCACGUUAAGUUGACCAAAGGGGGUCUGACUGCUUAGACAACCAGGAUGUUGGCUUAGAAGCAGCCAUUCAUUUAAAGAGUGCGUAACAGCUCACUGGUCGAGCGGUCGGGCAUCGAAAAUUUUCGGGCAUCAAAUGUGGCACCGAAGCUUCGGGUUAGAUUUCAUCUAGCGGUAGGGGAGCAUUCCAGCGACGCCGAAGCUGGUCCGUGAGGACUGGUGGAGUUUCUGGAAAAGCAAAUGUAGGUAUGAGUAACGAUAAGACAGGUGAGAAACCUGUCCGCCGUAAGACUAAGGGUUCCUGAUCAACGUUAAUCGGAUCAGGGUUAGUCGGGACCUAAGCCGAGGCCGAAAGGCGUAGGCGAUGGAAAACGGGUCAACAUUCCCGUACCUCCCAAAGGCGUUAACAUGAGGCGUGACGCAGGAACGUAAGGCCCGCGCACAGACGGAUGUGCGUUGAAGUGCUUAGGCUGAGUGGUAGGCAAAUCCGCUACUCAUAUAAGCUGAAACACGACAGUAGGGGGAAUCGUCAGACGAACCCAUAGAGGCCCCAAGUAUGCUGCCGAGAAAAGCGUCGUAUGUUGCCGAGGGAGCCCGUACCGUAAACCGACACAGGUAGUCGAGGAGAG